AUGGAUAUGAUCAGGAUCUUCCGUCCAUCCUUCCCUCCCGGGCCAUUUUCUAAUUUCAGCUAUUGGGUGAAGUGGUCAAUGAGUUUUAGUGAAGGGCGAACGAUUGAGUGGUACCCAAAUUCAAUGAGCCAUCGGGACAAUUUUUUAUUAGAAUUUCAUAACUCUAUGUCAGCUAAGAAUUCCUCUAUAUCAACCUUCCUUAACCCUCUAAAUAUUGUCGGACAACCUAAAAUUAUUGCCUUUCCAGUUUGA